rnacentral:tRNA from 1 species
GCAUUCGUGGUGUAGUGUGGUCAGCACGCUGGGCGCGUAUUCCAGAGGUCCGUGGUUCGAGUCCCCGUGAAGGCA